rnacentral:rRNA from 1 species
UUUAAUUCGAUGAUACGCGAGGAACCUUACCCGGGCUCAAACGCAACCGGAAUGUAUCUGAAAGGGUACAGCUCUACGGAGUCGGUUGCGAGGUGCUGCAUGGUUGUCGUCAGCUCGUGCCGUGAGGUGUCGGCUUAAGUGCCAUAACGAGCGCAACCCCUAUCGACAGUUGCUAACGAGUGAAGUCGAGGACUCUGUCGAGACUGCCGGCGCAAGCUGUGAGGAAGGCGGGGAUGACGUCAAAUCAGCACGGCCCUUACGUCCGGGGCGACACACGUGUUACAAUGGCGACUACAGCGGGAAGCCACUUGGCGACAAGGAGCGGAACCCGAAAAGUCGUCUCAGUUCGGAUUGGAGUCUGCAACUCGACUCCAUGAAGCUGGAUUCGCUAGUAAUCGCGCAUCAGCCAUGGCG